rnacentral:rRNA from 1 species
GACGAACGCUGGCGGCGUGCUUAACACAUGCAAGUCGAGCGGAAAGGCCCUGCUUUUGUGGGGUGCUCGAGUGGCGAACGGGUGAGUAACACGUGAGUAACCUGCCCUUGACUUUGGGAUAACUUCAGGAAACUGGGGCUAAUACCGGAUAGGAGCUCCUGCUGCAUGGUGGGGGUUGGAAAGUUUCGGCGGUUGGGGAUGGACUCGCGGCUUAUCAGCUUGUUGGUGGGGUAGUGGCUUACCAAGGCUUUGACGGGUAGCCGGCCUGAGAGGGUGACCGGCCACAUUGGGACUGAGAUACGGCCCAGACUCCUACGGGAGGCAGCAGUGGGGAAUAUUGCACAAUGGGCGGAAGCCUGAUGCAGCAACGCCGCGUGCGGGAUGACGGCCUUCGGGUUGUAAACCGCUUUCGCCUGUGACGAAGCGUGAGUGACGGUAAUGGGUAAAGAAGCACCGGCUAACGACGUGC